rnacentral:scRNA from 1 species
UGGAACCGGCAGCAACUAACCGAGUUUAUCAC